rnacentral:rRNA from 1 species
CCCUUAGAUGUUCUGGGCCGCACGCGCGCUACACUGAUGCAUUCAACGAGCUUCUUCCUGGUCCGAGAGGAAUGGGUAACCUUUUGAAAGUGCAUCGUGAUAGGGAUAGACUAUUGCAAUUAUUGGUCUUCAACGAGGAAUUCCUAGUAGACGUAGUUCAUCAGACUGCAUCGAUUACGUCCCUGCCCUUUGUACACACCGCCCGUCGCUCCUACCGAUUGAAUGCUCAGGUGAGCCAUUCGGACUUUCAUCAUGCUGGUUUCCAGUUUUGAUGAAGGAAAGUCUUGCGAACCUUAUCAUUUAGAGGAAGGAGAAGUCGUAACA